rnacentral:rRNA from 1 species
GAAGGGAGAAACGAAAUAUCACUGUACCUAAAUAAUUAAUUAACUUAAUAUUCUCGUAAAAAUUCAAGAAUAAAGAAAUAAGACGACAAGACCCCGACAAACUCAUAGCAUUUAGUUGGGGAAACAUAGUAAAAAAACUUUACAAAACCACCACAUAUCUAAUAAAAUUUAAAUUGACAAGUUACUGCGGGGAUAACAGCGCUAUCCUUCUCAAGAGCUCCCAUCUCAAGAAGGGCUUACGACCUCGAUGUUGAAUUAGUUAAACUACUACCAACGCACAAGUUUAGAAAGUAAGUCUGUUCGACUAUUAACUAACUACGUGAUCUGAGUUCAGACCGG